rnacentral:lncRNA from 1 species
UUUUCGCGAUGCGUAUUUAGCAGAUUCUUGAUCGUCAUGAUUGUGGAAGGGGUUCAGGUUGGGAACCUGGGUGAUGAUGUAAGGUACGUAUGGGAUAAGUGGAUGGCAAGGAAUAGUGCUCAAUCGGUUGGAAACAUAAUGAUUGGAUUGACAGCUAGUUGGUGGAUCAUUUGGAAGGUAAGGAAUACCGUUAUUUUUAGGAUGGCUAAUACUAACCCCUUGCUAGUUGUCAACUCGAUCAGACGUUUGAAGAUUCAGUGGGAGGAGAACAGCGUGUUUAAACGAGCGUACCCUGGCCCCGAAAUUUAAAGGAAUUUAAAUGUUGUUUUUUAAUUUUCUUUUUCUUCUUCUUCUUCUUCUUUUUAUUUUUUUUGUUUAGGUUUUUAUUAUUAUUUUGGUAUCAUUCGGAGGUCCUCUAUCUCACUCUUGUAAUUUAAUUCAUUUCUUUAAUAAAUGAACUAGAUAGUAUGCUAUCUUUCUCUCAAAAAAAAAAUUGUCGACCGCCAAAGAUGUAGGCAAUUCACUACUUGAAGUUGACGGAUAAGUUAUGUUUCAGUUUGACUAAUUAUCCUUUUAAAACUUUAAGGUAUCGUUUGGUUCGGGGAUAACCAAAAAAUGAUUAUUCCAGGGAUAGAUAUAAAUUGAGGUAUAAGCGGGGAUUAGAUCAAUUUUGCGUUUGGAUGAAAAUUAGGUUAUUUUUAGGAAUAAAAAAAAAUAGCGUUUGGUUAGAUAAGAUGAAAUAAGAAAGAUAGUAGAUUUUUAUAAAUAAAAAAUAAUAAUAUUACCAUCUUAUUAUAUUUGAAUUUAAAUUUUUAAAAUUUAAAAUUUAAAAUUUUAACUUUAAAUUUAAAAUUUUAAAAUUAAAAUUUAAAAUUUAAAAUCUCAAAUUUUAAAUUCAAAAUUUUAAAUUUUAAAUUUCAAACUUUAAAUUUAAGUUCAAAUUUAAAUUUAAAAAAUAUAAAAUAUAAAAUUUUAAAUUUCAAAAAUAAAAUAUCAAAAUUUAAUUUUAAAAUUUAAAAUUUAAAAUUAUAAACUUUAAUUUUGAGAUUAUAAAUUAUAAAUUUUAACAAUUUAAAUUUUUAAUUUUUAAAAUUUUAAAAUAAGAAUAGGGAUGGGAACAAUUAAUAAAAAUAAUUUAUUAUAAUAAAUUUAUAAAUUUUUUUAAAAUUCUACUUAAAUUUAAAUUUAAUAAAAAAAAUUUAUUAUAAUAUUUAAAUAUAAUUUAUUAUAAAUUUUAUUAUAAUAUUUAAAUAUAAAUAAUAUGUAUUAAUAUAGUACAAUUAAUAAUUUUAUAAUAAAAAUAAUUUAUUAUAAUAUAUAACAUAUUAUAUUUAUAUAAUUUAGUUUAAUUCAAUUUAUAAUUUUAAUUAAGUUUGAAAUUAAGCAUUGUAAUAGCGCUAUUCCACCAAAGUGGUGGAAUAGCAAAUCCCUUGCUAUUCCAGGAUAACCGGGAAUAGUAAGGUUUGACCGGAAUAUUUUAUCCCGACAAUAAAUCUUUCCGUUUGGCAGAAUAGCGAGGAUAACGAAAGUUAUCCCCGCUUAUCCCCUGAACCAAUUAGGGCCUAAGUGUUUCUAAUAAAUGUUCACUGCAUUUGUAAACAUAAAUUUCAAAUUUGAGUUUCGUCUAGCACUUUGGCUAAUUUUUGUUCAUCUUUCACUGUAUGUGUUGCCAAAUGCUCUUCAAUCUUUUAAUAGGCUUCGUUGUUUGAGCUCGGCAAUUAUAUCAACAAUAAUUUUGAAUUCAUUCGACGAGAAAAUAUAUAUAAAAAAGAAAAAAAAAAAAAGAAUAGGGAGUGAUAAAUAUAGGACAGUAAUACUUUAGACAGGAUGUGAAGGGAGGGGUAGCCCUUGUUAUUUAGCCAAACUUUAAAAUUGUCACAUUAAAAUAUAGAUAUAAGAUAAAGUAAAAGUUGGACAGGCCUUCCCUGUUUUCACUCCAAAAGGUAAAGAGCAAAUUCGACAAGCCUAAUAAAAGAGUUCGACUAGGAUAAUAAACAAAUCAAUUUUUUUUUAGAGAAAAAAAUAGCAUGCUAUCUAUUUAAUUUAUUAAAUAAAUGCAUUAAACUAUAAGAGUAAGGUAAAAAGGACCUCCAAACCAGACCAAAAAGGAAAAACAAAUUUCAAUUGAAAAAAAAACACGUAACAAAAAAGAAGAAGAAGAAAGUUUCAAUUCAGAGGCUAGGAACAAAUCGUUUUUUAAAUCCACAAAAAGAGAUAAUUUGUCUUUGAAUGGGCCUCGUUCAUUAUACAGCAGCUCUCUUACAUAUAUGCUCUGUAUUCUAGGAUUCUUCUAAGAUGAUACUUAGGGUGCGUUUGGUUCGCACUAUCUUUUAAAGAUUCCUAGUAAUCCAAUGGGAAUAAAAAAAUAUGACGGUGUUUGGCUAAACGCACUAAGUAAUCUAGUUGGUAAUAUUAGAUUCACUUGGGAAUAAGAUUCACCCCAAAGUACUAAUCUCAUUUCCUUAAGAGAGGGUGGGUAUUCUCAUAUUAAUGGAUUGGGAUAAUCAUAAUAUGUCUAAUUUCUUUCUUUCUUCUUACCCGCCGGCUAAUUGAUAUUAUUUUUCUUUACACUCUAACCUUAUUUCUCUCUCUAAACUUUUUUCUCUCUAAAAUUCAACUUUUUUUUCUCUCUCUAAACUAAGCUUUCUCUCUCUCUUUCUAAAAUUUCAACUCUCUCACUCCCUCUAGUUUCGACUAUAUUUUUCUUUCUAUUUUUUUAAUUAUGCUCUCUCUCUAAAUUAUACUCUCUCUCCUUUUUUUCUAAAAAGAUGUUGAAACUUUUGUUAACAUUAUCUAAAAUUAAUUAAAUAAAUAAAUAACUUAAUUGUAUAUUUUUUGUAAUAUUAAAUAACAUGGCUAAUUAAUAUUACCGUGCGAACCAAACACAGAAAUUUCACAUUCUUAGUAAUAGAAUGAAUAGGAAUAAGAUUCUCGGAUAUCUUUUAUUCCUAGUAAUAUUUCAUAAUGCGAACCAAAUGCACCCUUAGGUACUUUGGUAGCACGAAACAGUUCUCUACUUUAGUUAAAAUUCGCAUCAUUUGCUUUCCGAAUCUAAAUCCGCGCUCAUUCGGGUAUCAUCUUACACGAAAAGGGCUUAAAGCCUAUUUGUUAGGAGCUGCAAAUAGAAGGGGCCCAAGAACUCGAUUACGAAAAGGACCAAAAGAAGCAAAACACCUUUCCUUUUUGUGCGAUGAAACAAUGCGAGGAAAAAGAAAUUUGAGCAAUCAUUUCCAAUCUUUAACUUUGUAAAAGCUAUUGGCAAUCAUUAUGCGUAUGGAUCCUUCAAAAUGACUUGCCUAGAUUUGAUUUAUAUAAUUAUACCAUACUAAAGGUCAUGAUUUCGCAUUAUUUUGCCUCGAAUAAUAGUUAAAUUUGAAUUUAAGAUUUGGAAGCGACUUGUGCUAGAUUACGAGAUCAGGUUAUACAUAUAUAUAAUUAUGAGACCAUAAGACCGACCGUCUCUAGCACAAGUGCUAAAAAAUUUAGUAAUUGAUACCCGAAAAUUUUUGUUCAAAUUUAUAAUUAAUUUAUAUUUUCAGUUAAAUUUAUUUAUAAAGAAAAUAAACGAAAUGACUGUUAAGCAUGCAUGUGGCAUUGCCCUCUAGAAUUUGGAUGCAAUGCAAUGUUGCCGAAAAAAGACAGUAACUUGUCAAAUACACAUAAACGACGUGUAUGCGAAAUAUGCUUUUCCAAAAGAGUUGCCAUUCUUUAUGAGAUUCUUGUCACAUGCAGCAUUAUGAAAGUAUGCUUUCUCAAAUAGCGCAUUUACGGAGAAAAUGACAAUUAGUCCUUGAUUAAUCCUCAACCAUUAAUUGUAAAUUACUUUUUAUCCUUUUCCUUUUUUAAUUUUUUAGAAAAUGCCAGUGUGCAAUUUUCAGAAGAUAUUCCAUGCGGCAGCAUUGCAUUGUCGCUUUACAACAUUGCUCUUCAAAAACUCGUUUCAAUAAUAAGCAAUUUCUUUUCCUCAAUAAUAAGCAGCUUCUAGCAAUUAAUUAAAGAUUUUAAAACAAGGUGUUAAUUACAUAAAUUCAUAAUAAUACAAACAAACAAGAGGAAAAAAAAAAACACUAAAAAAACACUAGUUAUUGCGAUGUUACGAGGACGGAGACGUGACAUUGGACCGGCCCAAGAAAAUUAAAAAUAAUAAUAAUUCCGGUGGGCCACGUGGGACCCCCACGUGGGGCCAGCUCGGGGACCGCUCCCUACGGCCUACGACAAAAAACAAAAAAAAAAAAAGAAAAGAAAAGGGCGGGGGCGGGAGCCGGCUCAGCUGGGUCGCACCUUUUGUCCUUUGUGUUCCCACUCAAAAACUCGUGAUCGCAACCAAAAAAACCCCCAAAAGCUAAAUCCCGAUCCACACCUACCGAGCAUCACCCGUACUCUCCACUCUUAAGUCUCAACUCAAGCACCCUCCCCUCCUGCUUCGUCUUCUUCCUCAUCCUCAUCCACCCCUAGUCCUCUCCACACUCUCCGCCAUUUCCCCAUUGGAAUUGGGAAUCACAAGCCACAUUUGUAUCCGCGAUCGAUCGGAGAUCCAGUUGCGGAGUUGGAGUACCUCUCACGAGAAACAGAUCCGUUUCUUCUCCUCGGUGAGUGCUCAAUUCCUGUUUCUCUUCGGUACGCUUCCCUUUACUUUGUUAGAUCGUUUUCGUGCCAAUGGAUUGCGUAGUCUCGCUGUUAUGGGUUUGUUCUUUGCUUCUGUCGUUCUACUUGGUGGUUUAUAUACGUAUAAGAGAGAGAUUACUCGGUGUGAGGGGUUUUGGACCGAGAUGAGCGGCAAUGGCGAAGUUGCUUAGGUUUCAGUGAGAUCCGUUCCAUUUUGCUUCGUUUACGCUGUGUUGUUAUUGAGCUAUGGAGUCAAAGGGAGGAGCAUUAGAGCACUUUAUCUUCUUUUCUUUUUUUUUCAAUUUUCCCCCUUUUUCCUAAGAACAAAGAAUUAUGAAUGUCUGGGCUCUUGUUUUAUAUAUAUAUUUUUUUUUAUUCUGAAAAGUAUUAUUAUUAUCAUUAUUUUUUCAAAAUAAAGUAAUAGGCGUUAGACCCUGUGUAAGUCCAUUUAAGAAAGCAGAGAAGGGUAAUCACUUGGAUGGGCCAGUCCGAUGAAGGAGAUCGCUUAUAUAUUAUUAUUAUAUUCAUUAAGCAUCAUGAUGCCUCCGUUUUCAAACUUUUCAGUCUUGGAUCAUACAAUGUAGCUCUUAAUAUUGGCUAACGUUAGUAUAUUUGAUAUCUUUUGUCUAUGAUAAGUUCUGUUAUGUCGAUCUAGUAAUCUAUAGCUUUCUCGAUUACUCGGAAAAAUGGUGAAUAAACCGGUUCUAUCGCUAUAGAUUACAAUCCUAUUCUUCCAGUUACUCUUCACAGGACCAUCCCGCUAAGGAAUGAUCUGUCAUGGUGGUUAUAUUUCUUGCAUUAAUUAUCUCGUUUAAUUACUACAUUGUUUAAGAUUGAUUUUUCGUGUUGCACAUAUAGGUGAAAUCCUUCCUACCUUUCCUAGUCCGGCAGGGAUCAGCAUUACUGCUAAAUAUAUUAGCGCAAGGAUUGAUAUUGGGAAAUAAUACCAUAUUGCUGCAUUUACAUGGAUUUUUGCAAAUGAAAAAAGCUUCAAUGGCUAUAUGAAAACACCGUAAAAAAUGCACACCGGAAACAAAGCAGAGCAUGAACAAACUUUGGCAAUGGGAUCUGAAGCGCAAGUCAGGAGGAACUCCUUACAGUAUCACUUCUCAGGGGUACCCAAGGAGACGACAUUACCGCCUAGAAGAAGCAGGAAUACAAAAUAUCAAGACCAUAAUACGGCCCUAAAAUUUGGGAAGCUCAGCAGGCAAGCAGUUCCUGAUCAAUAUUCUUCAAUCAAAAGCCCAAUCCACACUAUACCCUUGAAAAGUCACCAAAAGCCGUGGCCUGUUACUAAGGCAAGUGGUGCUGAUGAGCUCGUAAAACACAUGUCUAAUGUGCCAUCUUAUCUCCAGCACCGAAAAAGAGGAGACAAUCUUCAGGGGAAGGCUUUGAAUGUUGGAGUCCUUGAUUGGGGCCUUCUUGAAAGAUGGACAUGCAACAAAAGACAUGUUCUUAGCAGAAGUGAUAGAGAUUCGCCCUCUAGUAGUAACGAGUCAUCAUCGUUUUAUACAUUUGGAUCAUCUAACCAGUCCUGCGGAAGCACGGGUAGCCCCCUUCCUUGUGGCAAUGGAUCUCCUUCCGCGAAUGGACGGUUCAAUCCGUCUGUCGGUAUUAGGAACAAGAAAGAGAAAAAUAAAGCUUCAGAAUCAACUAGUAGAAAGGAGGAACCACCCUCAACAUUGGUGCUCAAGGUGGCAGGGGCUCAAGAUGGCACACUCAAUAGAGAAGAAAAUAUCCAGCACCACUUUAGUAGUCUACACUUGGGCAGAGAAGGGCAACAGAAUGGCUCCUUUGCUUUACCCAUGAGUGGAAAAUCUGUUUGGGAUCAUCUCGAACAACGAGUUGAUGGAAGCCGAAUCAGCUUUGAGUCCUCACCAACUAAAUAUAGAGGGCAGAUGGAGAGAAACUGCAAUGGCUUCUCAAUUGAAGUUCUUUGGGAUCUCCAACAGAUCGAUCAACCUAGUCAUAUUUCCCAUUCUUGUCCUCUCCCGGAUACAAGUUUAAUAGAUGAACCAGUCAUCAGUAACGGUUUUCUAACAGAAAACAUUUUACGAGGCAGUGAGGCAGAAUUGAAAACUGAACGGAAGAACAUACUCGAAGAACAUACAUCUAACAGGCCAAGUCAAGGUGAUGUGAGCACAAGUCUUGCUACUGAAAGAAAAUUGUACAGUCAUCACUCAAGUGUUGGACCUGCUGGAAUGAGUCGCAGUUCCAGUUUAAGGUAUGAUUCUUCUGUUCAACAGUUGGAACCAACUGGUUGUGGCAAUAAAUCAAACAACAGGGGUAGGCAGAGCCCACUGAGGAGGAUAUUAGAUCCAUUUAUAAAGCCUAAGAACCACAUGGACUUUUCCAGUUCCAUUUCGUCCUCACCUCGUCGCCUCUCUCAUGAGGCACGUUAUACUGGUAAGUCUAGUAGUUCGGAACGAUUGAACUCAUCAAAUGGGCCUUGUAGGUUAAUGGAUACAUGCGUUAAUUCCACUAGCCCGAGAAAGAGGCAAGCUCUUCUUCAACUAGCUUGGAAGAAUGGGUUGCCUUUGUUUAUGCUCUCGUCCAGUGGCAGUAAUAUUCUUGCAGCCACAGUAAGAAAGAAAAGCAUCUGUGACAAGAAUGAUUUAGAAUGUGUUUAUACAAUAUUUACUGUACAAGAAUCGAAGCGAAAAGGUCGCAUAUGGACUAAGCCAGGAAACAAAGGCAAGAAGCAUCAAUUCCUCUCUAGCGUCGUUGGUGAGAUGAAUGUUUCAUGUUCAAGGUCAAUGUUCCAUGAUUCAAAAGGAGAUCAUGUUGUCAGACAGUUUGUUUUGUUUGGUAGUGAACUUGUACCGACAUCCAACGGACCUACAGAUUCCCAAUUUAACUGUGAGCUUGCAGCCAUUCUUGUGAAGCAAGACUUGAAAACUAAGCAGAAUAAUCAGAGUUCUGAAUUAUCUAAUCUCGUAGCUAUACUUCCAAGAAGCAUUCAUGGGUUUUCAACUUCUGGGAAGCCCUCACCUUUGAUAGAAAGAUGGAGAUCCGGUGGAGCAUGCGAUUGUGGGGGGUGGGAUGAGGGUUGUGCUCUUACUAUACUCGCUGACGAGCUCCAGGACUGCAAAACUUCUGGUUCAGUCCGAAUUUGCGAUGAUGCAGAUGGUACUCAGCGAAUUGAAUUGUUUGUUCAGGUAUGCUAUUUUAGAUAGUCAUUUAUUUCCUUCUUCGGCCAACUGGUCUCUUGAAUUUGCUGACGUCAAUAAUAAUUCAUUCUUUAGGGUCGAUCUCAAGAAAGUGGACAUCCCUUUAGCAUGAUUUCUUUCAAAGAAGGGUUGUAUACAGUUGAAUUUCAGGAAUCGAUUGCUUUACUUCAGGCUUUUGUGAUUUCAAUUGCAAUUCUUCACAGCAGAAGCCUUACAAAACAUCAAGCAGAGGUUAACGGCUUGCAGGAGCCAGUCGUUGCUGAUCUUGGAAAUAAGGCUUCUGCACAAAGUAAAGGUGGAGUUCAAACAAGCUAUGUACCGAAUUAUCCACCACUUUCUCCUGUUGGAAGAGCUUAAUUACAGACCUAAGCAAUAGGUAUGGGUUUCGCUUUUUUCUUGUACCAUAUGUAGUAUAAAAGUUCAUAGAUAUAGAUCACAUGCACUUGUCUUCACUUAAAAGCUAUCUUUGAUUUGCCAAUCCUUGGUAGUAAAAUCUACAUUAUAUGCACCUGGUUUCAUGAUAUGAUGUACAGUGCUUCAUUAGUUCAUCUAUCUUUCUGUUAUAAUAAAAUACUGUACUCUUUAGGGGACAAGAAAGAAGGUAAAUUGCUCGUUCUGUGGCAAUCUGUAUCGCAUGUCAUCCACCAUAGAGAAAUAUAAAGGACAAAGGUUCUUUCUGAAUCAAAUGGCUGUCGUUUUCCAAGAAGAGUAUAAACAAGGCCAUAGCUUGUAUCUAAUGCGCAUAGUUUCUUGCUGCAUUUAACUAUCCAGGCAUAGAGUUCUUGUCAUAUUGUUUUAGUUAGGCCAUAGCUACAUAGCCACAAAGGCAUCCUAUAGAACACUUGCGUAUGAACAUGUGGUAGCAAUUCAUGUGGCAAAGCAAUUGCUGAAAGUUUGUGAGGCUUUGAUUCCUUUGUUGUUCGAGAGAUCAAUUAACUAUGUUAGGGAAUUUGUAGUUUCAGGAUGUUUAUCAUAUUUGGUCAUUAUUCUUGGGUUAACUUCCAAAAACAAUAAUGUGGUAUAGCGUAUUUUCAUCUAGGAGUCUCUCAGAGUGACCGACCGUCCUUAGCACAAGUGACAAAGGGCUUGGUGGGUAGUAUUCAAAGUUUUAGGUUUGAAGCUUAGCUGCUUCAUAUUUUCAGCUAAGCUUAUUUCUAACAAAAAAUAAACAAAGUAGAUGCCAUGCUACCUUUCUCUCUCUCAAAAAAAGUCUCUCAUAGUCAUAGUUUCAUUUCUAUUACUAUGGUAUUCUGAGAUUUCUAUUCUGGUUUUUUGUAAGGAUUUUUCUGUCAGCCUUGUUAGAAUUUGGAUUUAGGUUGCGUUUUAUCUUCUUUGGGUGGGGCUUUGGUUGACCAAAAACUCAAUUGAGAUCCGUCAGUUUAGAUCAAAAUAUGACCACGACAUGAUCCAAAGUUGUUUGUGUUGAUCAAAACCCAGUGCAAAGUCAAUUAUAAAUGAAGCUAAUAGAAAAGUUGUUACAAAAAGCUGAAACAGUAAUUCCCAAAUUCCGGAUACCUUGUUCUUUAUGUAAGGAAAUGAAACAGUUUUUAUUUCUUCUUAGUUUACUCUUGUUCUUUCUAGUAAGCUAGAUGCAAACUAUCAUGAUUUGAUCUUUUUUACUAGAUGAAAAAAAAUUUAUCAGAUCUUAGCAUCCCUUCUACUCAUCCUUUUUUUAUUUAAUACAGACCAUAUCUCUAGACAGUGAAGAAUGCUACCCUUAUAUUCCUUAUAGGGAUGUAAGUCUUACAUCUCUUAAUCUAAAGUUUUACAAAGUCCCUUUGAAUUUUAGUUAAAAUAAAAAGACUCACAAAGCUUCUUUGGGUUUUAGUAAAAAAUAAUAAUAAUAAUAAUAAGUGAGCAAAGAAAGACCACAAAAGGUCUAGGGUGUAAACGUUACACCUAUUUUAUAGGCCGACGAGUAGCAUUACUCCUAGCUUAAUGGGGUUCAUCAAUGUUCUGCUGGCUUUUUCAGCAUCACUCAGUCCCUGCAAGGUUUAUCACUGCGCCUUAACGAUUGUACGGUUCUCCCUUUAUUAUACCUUGUGGCAGUUUUCGUAGGCUUUUACCAAUAUAAAAGGUUUUGUGCGUUUGAGCAAUUAGUGUUGGCUUUAUAAAGGGGCAAAAAUUUUAUGGGCAAGUAGUUUGGGGACUACGUCGAUCGACGCCGGCCAUGUGGCCGAUCGGACGGAUGUCUUUCUCAAUAAUUUUCUCUCUCUCUCUCUCUCAAAAUGCAUGGUUUUUUUCUUUCCAUCCGUGGCCGUCGGAUGAGCCACAUGGCACCGACCCGCGUAGUCCUCCUGCUAAUUAGUUUGGAGAUUAUGCCUAUAAAAUUUUUGUCCGGGUUCUAGCCUCUUGGGUUGUACUGGUGAAUGUAAUUAAUCGGCAGCUGCUGACAAGUUAUUUUAACUGCUAGUGAUGUUUAAAAUGAUUGAUUUUUUGUCCUGAUCCUCUACUUAGCAAGUUUGUUUAGAAGGGAAAAGCUUUUGAAACCCCUGGAGAUCCCGUUGACGCAUCAACAUGUGUUAGUAUAUCAUCAAUUCAUGGAGAGCAAUGGAUUUUGUAUUCUACUAUUCUGUAAUACCGCGGCGUUCAUAUAAAAGUUGUGGCAGGGUGCCUUCACAGAAAAUUCUCAUAUUAGCUCCUUCUAUGCUCCUUCUAUGCUGAAACACUGAAAACAUUAUAGUAAAUAUUUAAAAUUUUCUUACAAGGAAAAGCACAACCGCAACCGGCCUAUCACAUGGCAUGGAGUACUCUAAUAAGUCUUUUUCGUUCAUUAUUAUUUUCUUGGUACAACACGGGUAUUGUCGGAUCUUCUGGCUUUCUAGAAUGGCAGCAGAUGAUAAACCCUAUCCUCCACAUACCCCUUUACUUGUCCCUAUAAGAACAGACCGGGUGGCCAUUGAUUUUGAAUCUUCCAGAUUUUUUUUUUUUUUUAUCUGUUAAAGCAACAAGGUGAGGCAAUCGUAUGUAGUUAGUGUUCUUAACGGCUGCAUCAGUUAUAACAAAUUAGUCUACAGCGACGGCCAAUAUAAUAAUUAUAAUUAUUCUUAAUAAAUAAAUAAACACGGGAUCCAAUUUCUCAAUCAUGAUCCAUAUAUAUUAUAUAUAGUUUUAAAGGUAGAAGAGCGGGGACAGUCGAAUAUUGAGUGGACCACGAAGAUGUGCGUAUGUGGCUCCAGGCCAAUGAUGACGGCACUGCCACGUCAGCAGGGACUGUGCUCUCCGCCUGUGUGGAAAAAAUUAUAGAAUGCAAUGAAUAUAUUAGUGACGUGGCGUAAUAAAUCAAUCAAAUAUAAUUUUUUAGAGACAUAUGUCCCAUCAUAAUUGUAAAAAAAUAUUUUUAUUAUAUUUUUGUUUUAAAAAAAAAAUAAUUAGUUUAUUAUUGAUGAUGUGGGACAUGUGUGAUAGGGUAGGAUUUCUCCCACUGUGGCGAGUCAGAAUCUCGAAUCGUGGGAACGGAAUCUGGUGCGGAGCGAACAUGGCGCGCUUCAAACGUGGGCUGCUUCCGUGGGCGACCGGCUGACCCGCAGCAGGCUGACCGAAGUUGUCCCUUUCCCCACACCCACAGCAGAAAUUAUUGCAGGGCCGGACGCCACUGGUCCCAUCACAGACGGCAGUUUUCAUGCUCGAUCAUCAUCAGCAGCAGCAUAGAAAUUUCAAAUCACCACAGUUAGCCUCGUACUUCAAAAUUAAUUAAAAUCAUUAAUUAAGAGGUCGAAGAUUUCAUCCGAAAAUCGAACAAUAGAUUGAGGGCAACGAAGGGAGUCAGAAAGAAAGCUAAUUGAAAGCCAAUUCAUUCCACAUACAGGCCAAUCAAUAUGUGGCGUAUGCCGAGACCCUGACGCAAAACCUAACACAACUAGAUUAUAUUCUAAUUAGAAGUUCAGUUUUUGGAAAUUACAUAAUCUAUGUUCAAAUCGUUCGUGCUUCAACUCCUUAUAGUUGUGUUAUAAAGUAUCCUACAGCUAUAUUUAGGCCCGGACCGGAGCUAAACCUGGGUUAACUAACUGACUAUAGUUCAGACCGGAUCUGACUAGGGCCCACGUUUAAGCCACAUUAUUUUAGGCCCACCCCAGCCCAGCCCAGUCCAAUGCAUCGCCAAACGCGAUCGUCCUAGUCUAGAAUCUCUAGAUGAGCAUGCUUUUUUUUCCUUUUAAAUAAAUAGUAAUAAAAUUCAAAUUCAAAUAGAGUAGGCUUUGGAUUCGAAUCGGCUAAGCGGGUUGAACAAACUAUAAAGUAAUAAUAAUAAUAAUAAUAAUAAUAAUAUAAUAAUAAUAAUAAUAAGGUUAAAAGGGAAAUAAAUAAAAUAAAUAAUUAAAGCCUAAUUGUUUUACCAACCAAACGAGGUGGAUUUUCUAGAGGCGAGCGAAGGUCGCUAUCAAUUCCAGCACUAUCUGGCCUGCCCCUUCUCCCCCUCCUCCUUUCUCCGCUCGGCCUCCUUCGCGAUCACGAUCCGUGUCAACCCCGCGUUCUUACUAUUACCUUCAAUUGACGAGACCAAGGAAGCGGAAGCGGAAGCGGAAGCGGAAGCAAAAACUUAAAAAAAGCCGCCCCUCCUCCUUUCUCAUUCUUAUUCCCUAUUCUAUAGAAUAAUAAUCAUAUAUACGGGGAAAAAGAGAGAUAGAAGGUCUUCAUAUAAAAAUAGGGAAUAAGAGAAAGCCAUUUCUGGAAAGGGUGUUUGAAUUCGUGGCUCCAGAUAAUACGAUUCCCACCACCACCUCCCCCCCCGUCUCUCUCUCUCUCUCUCUCUCUCUCUCUCUCUCUUCUAUAUUUCUCCAUUGAUUUGAUUAGUUGGAGGAGGAGAACCCUUUUCUCCCAAUCGGAUCGUCCAAGGCUCUGAUAACAAAGAGCGUUGGACGACCAAUCUGUACGUCUCUCUAAUCGAACCAUUGGAGUGCCGAUGACCUUUUACGUUGCGCGCGAGGGUUCCAAGGUCAACACCAUCUUCCUCUUCCUCUUUUUUUUUUUUUUUUUUUUUUCUUUAAUUUUGUUUUGGCUUUGUGUUUAAUUUUGGUUUUGCAUGUAGCUUUGGGCUAGGGUUUCCUCGGAGAUAUCGGUGGAGUUGCAGCUUCUGCUGGAGAAAUGGAAGCUUCUGCUUGCCGGACUCAUUUUUCAGGUAAAUUCGCGUGAGAUCGUGACGCGAUCCUUCUUAAAUUGGUCUCGAUUUUGCAUCUGUAAUUUAGAAAAUGUUUGAUUGUAAAGUACUGUUGCUUGGUUGAUUGUAUUUGUUUCCUUAUCUUCAUCGACUUGUGCAAAUUUGAUCCUCCAAUUGUAGUGUCUUAAUUGUUUUUACUGGAUUUCUUAACUAUACGAUCGUGUUUUCAUCUUUGAUUUUGAGAACUGUUCUAUUUACAGCUGUUUGCAUCAAAAGUAGGGAUACUAAGCGCUCAUCAUUUGUUAGAAGGGAAAAUUGGUAUGUAGUUGUUAAGUGCUGCCUUAUGCAUGUGGGGUUAGUGUGUUCGGGGCCAAUGCUCCAUCCAAGAGAUGCAUUUUGUGAUUAAAAUAUAUAAGCAGUGGGGACAAGGGGAAUCAAUGUUUGCUAUGAAAGUUAAAUUAAUAUUCAAAAUUAAGAAAUUUGUUCCUCUUUAGUCUACUAUUCUUCAGAAGAGUUCAAAAAAUGUAUCAGUUCAACGCACUCUGCUCAUUAUCGCAGUUUCAUUUCUGUUUACAUAAAGUUGCAAGCGAAGACAAAACAACAUGUAAUCAGUUAUAUUAAGCAAUUAUAUUCUUAACAUAAUAGUAUUUUCAUAAUGUCAUGUGCUCACGACAUGUUAUAGCAGGUCCUAAGGUCAAAGCAUUGGAAGUAUUGCAUUAUUGAACCAAAAAUUGGUAUAGUAGAUCGAGAACUAAAUAGUAGUGAAGUUAUAUCAACUUACCCAAGAAAGAUAAGGUAAAUAGCAUUGUACUGCACAAAUGAACAUGUGAUGGUCUAAGCAGUUUCCUUUGGGCUGUUGUGCAUGCCAGCCGCUUUUAUUUGAAUGUCUGUUUAUGUAAUAUUGUUUUUGCUCGUUUUAUUAGAUUCCUCAUUAUGUCUCUGUUACUGUGAGCUAAAUAUAAAAAUUCUUUGGUCUCAGUAUUUGAUCUAUCUAUCAUUUGUCUUAAUUUAGUGCUUUUUUUUUUUUCUUCUUAGUUCAUAGUCUUGCUUUCCCUGAUGUUCCUGUUCAUUAUUUGACGUUCAAAUUUGUUUGAUUAACCAAGGUCUGAUUUUUUUGGGAGACUUACACCGCAAUUUUUCAUAUAACUAGUAUAUACAUGGAUUGGCUGCACGAGGAGUCCAUUAUUUGCAUCGGCCUGGGCCAAUUCUCCAAGAUCUCGGGUUCAUGAUCCUUCCGGUAAGUGUGACAUGUUUGAAAUUUACUAGCAUUUCAUCUUUAUGUAAUACUAGAGAAUAAUAGUUGUAAGUUAGAUUUUCAAUUUCAUCCGACUUUCUCUUUAUGCCUUUGCUAUUAGGAGCUUGGAAAAGAGAGAGGCUACAUCAGUGAGAGUCUUUUCACUUUCAUCUUUUUGUCCUUUGUAGUGGUAUGCUUCUAUCUUACUUUGAGCUAUUCACAAAUUAUUAAUGUUUUAGUUGCUGCUUGCUGCCACACAUUCUCUACAUGUGUGCAUGAUUAAUUAGUAUCACGAGCAUUUGGCCUUUUAGUUUUCAUUGUUAAAUAAAGUUUCUCUUGAAUUUGACUUUCAUUAAUUUGGUCAAUAAAUUCGUUUUGCCUCUUUUACUACUAUUUUGCUAGAAGAUAAACGGGUACUCAGUUGGCUACUUCUAAGAAUAAAAAUUAGGUAAAAUGUAUGGAGACACUUUCUACUAUACACCAUUUCCCCUCUAACUUCUUUUUUUUAUAUGUCUUAUUUGAGUUAUUCUAGUUACAGUUGAGUUUGUGUUCACUAUUUCACUAUUUGCACUGGCUUCAAGCAAAGUAAAUUAGAUGGAAACCUAGGACUACAGUUGAGUAUGUUUUCAUUUUAAUAAUGUUUCGUUCUGUUUCAGUGGACAUUCCAUCCCUUUAUCUAUCAUAGCAAGCGCUUCUAUACUGUUUUACUCUGGCUCAGGGUGUUGGCAUUUUUAGUUGUAAGCACCUAUUCUUGUUCUUUCUUUCCUUUGUUACUAGUUAUGCUGGGUUUUUUUUACUAACAAUAUGUCUCUUGCAGGUUUCUCAAAUUUUAAGGAUAAUUACUUUCUAUUCAACUCAACUUCCUGGACCUAAUUAUCACUGCCGUGAGGUAACAUUGCUGAUAUAAAUUGGCAUUUUGUGAAUAAAAAAAAACCUUGCUACGCCAGUUUCACUAGAACUACCAAAAAUCAGUUAUUUUUUGUAAUUCAUGCAGGGCUCCAAGCUUGCCAGAUUGCCGCCACCUGAAAGUGUAUUUGAGGUGCUUCUCAUUAACUGUAAGUGAUCCAAGUUUGGUUUGACUCAUCAAAGUGUGUUUUGAAUGUUUGAUGCAUUAUCCAUCAUUUGGAUGUUCACAAGGUUUCCUUUCCUCCCCUUUUCCUGCAGUUCCAAGAGGAGUUAUAUAUGGGUGUGGCGAUCUAAUAUUUUCAUCCCACAUGAUAUUUACUCUCGUCUUUGUCCGCACAUACCAGAAGUAUGGCUCUAAAAGGUAUAACAUUUGACAUUCAGUUAAAUGUGACUUGAAUUUAACUUUUGCAGAAUGCUUUGUGUUGGAAAAUAGUGUCUUGUGGACGUGGAGAUUGCAUAAUGCAUGUAUGAUAUUUGCCUUGCUCUUUUCACAGGAUUGUUAAGCUGCUAGCAUGGUUAACAGCUGUAGUGCAGAGUCUGCUUAUUAUAGCCUCCCGCAAGCACUAUACAGUCGAUGUCGUCGUGGCGUGGUGAGUGGUCUUUUUACUAUACUAGUACCUUUGUGGCUCAAAUGUUUAUUUUCUUUUUCCUACUUACAUCUCUUUUGUGCAGGUACACUGUAAAUCUGGUCGUCUUCUUCAUCGACCAGAAGCUACCUGGUGGGUCAUUUUCUCUAUUUUGAAUUUACUAGUAUAAUAGUUUUCUUAGCUUAUCAAUUAACUGUUGAUUUGUUAUGUUUCCACACAGAGAUGCCAGAUCGUUCCGGUGGAUCUACUACAUUGCUGCCCGUAAGUGUCAAAGAUAAAGAAAGCAGAUCUAAGGAAGAGCUUCACAAGCUGUUGAAUGGAAAUUCUGUGGAUUCUGCCGAUCGGGUAUGAUAGUUUACUGAAAUAUACUUUGCUUUAGUUUCAAAGAUAAACUUUUUAGUUUUGACCCUAUGGAUAAAGAACUGCUCUCAAGCACAGUGCUUGAACAAAAUCAGAGUGCUUACAUUAGGUGCGUAGCAUUUGUUGCUGGGUUUGAGUUCCCGUUUAGUUUUUAUCAGUGCCUGGUAAUUUGGUUCACCUAUGAUCGGCUGUCUACAAUAGACAUUAUAACAGCUGUUUGUUUAUUAGAAAAUAGUACAAUUUGAGUCUUACCGCCACCAUGCCAGCCCCCAUCCAAGUAGAGCUCAGUUUAUUAUGUGCAAUAAACCAAGCAGAAGUAGGAUUUCCUCUUCUAGUCAUUGUUAAGAUAUAAAGUAGUUAUAGCAAAUAGGUCUAAUGAGCUUAUUCUUUUUAUCUGUUUCUGUAUGCGAGCUGAAAACUUUGUUGUCUCCUGACUUCUGUCAGGGCAAGUUGGCAUUGCUUCUACAUGGAAGUCUGCUUUAUGCAUACCUUUGCUUAUUCCAAAUGUAUUCUUCAUUUUGUGUUACAAAUCAGGAAAAGUAAUGCCAAAUUUUAUUUUGUAGAGAGUCAGAACACAAAUGAAUGGGAAGCACUUGGAUGACCGGACUUAUGCCGAUUCAGGAACAACAAUGAAUGGCACAUAGUUUGUGGGAAAUGCAGUUGGGAUGGAGGCUUUUUUUAGGACUCAGAAGAGAGACACCAAUCAGGGGCUGGAGCAAGCAUCGCAUGUGUCUGGGCAGUGGAGAUGUCUCACUGAAUCGAAUAGGUGCUUUGAAGAUGUCACACCGAAUGGAAUAGGCCCUUGUAGUUGUAACUUAAACUAAGAAGAAAUUUUGGCGUUGGCCGACUAGAAUUUUGGUCUUUUCCUUCACCAUUGUGCUUUUUUCUUUUUCUUUUUUUUUCCGGUUUCCUUUUUUGAGGCUCCUGCUCGUCGUUAUUUUAAUUCAAGCUAGAUUGAUCAAUUUGUGUGAAGUAAUGCUGAUCGAUUCAUUGUACAUAGGUAUUCACAGCCUCUUCUAGAGGUCCAAACUCGAAAUGCAUCUGCAUUUGAAAGCGGACGAGCCCCAGUUAUGCAUAAUUCACAUGCAUAUUGAGUAUCAAAUUGUUUUCUUUCCUGUUUGUUUCAUGUGUAUUAUGUGGGGCAUGUUUGUUUCACUCAAUUAUUUUGCCUAUAAAUAACCACUUUUACUAUUUAGUUGGCUGUAAAUUAAUUUCGUCUGUUAAUUUAACUUUUUUAAUAUGUGCUAAUUGAUUUUGUCCUACGUGUUGGUUGGUGGCGAAGUCAAAUUAACGAAAAGCAAGAUAUGAACAAAUAAUUGAAAAAACCAUAAAAAAGUGGGAUAAUGAAAUUUAAUUGAAUUUUAAUCAAACAGUGAUAAAAAACAAAAAUGUUUAUGGACUUUCAGUUCAACUAUAGUCAAUUUCAACCUGAAAUUUAAUUACUGUCAGACAAACAUGCUCCCGUGGAGUAGAUGAUAAGAAUGCACACGACUAUGGCACCUUCAGCACCUGCGAACUGGCUUUUGUUAUGAAAGAAAAGAGCUGGAGAAAGAUACAUGCAAGACGGAGAAGCAUCGCAUGACAGAUUUUGAUCUGAAAUUUAUUUUUUUUUUGUUUUUUUUUUUUUGAGAGAUAUGUAGCACGCUAUCCACUUCGUUUAUUUCAUUUAGAAAUAAAUUUACCUGAAAAUGUGAAUCAAUUAAGAUUCGAACUUAGAUUUCGGAUACCAACCAUCAAAUUCUUUGCCACUUACUCAAGGGACGGUCGUUGAUUUGAAAUUUUGUUCAUAAUUAUUCUUGGCAGAGUAAUUGUUACAUGUGAGAUUUAUUUUUUGUUUACAAGCCACAUGACAAGACAUGGGUCUAAUCAAUCAAUCAAUCAAUCAAAUUUUUUAGAGUUUUCGUUCAAAUGCUAUUUGAAUAGAAUUAUUUAAAAAUACUCGUUGGGCAAAUUUUUAUUAUAGUUUCUUCUUUCUCAAAAUAUAAGUAUAAUUUUAAAAUCCGAACUCUGUACUUCCAGCCAAAGUUGGAGGAACCGAUCAUUUGUAUAUAAAUUGCCUAGCUAAGGUUCAUGAAGUAGAAAAAUCUCUUAAUAAGAGAAUCAUGCAUGCGGAGAUCGACGUACAUAUUCAUGCAGGACCAGGUGGAGAAAUCCUCCAAUAUUAUUCUAUUAAAUAAAUAGUCCGCUUCACUGUGAGAAGAAAGAGAUGAAUUUACAAAUACAAAAAAACAUGCGAGGCACAAAUCGCUGAAUUGAUGGGAGGCAUCCUUUUGUUGUAUCUACUGCAUACAUCACAUUUGCGGGUGAAAGAGAUAGUUAAAUUGGUAUUGAAUAAGACAAUAUAUAUAUAUAUAUAUAUAUAGCACCCCAUAGAUACAUACAUACAUACAAACAUACAUACAUAAAUGCAACGCAUGCAUACAGCAUACGUAUAUAAUUUUAUGAUCUCUGUAUAUUGAAGAAAAUCAAAUGGUUACUAUGUUUGGCCCCAAACAAAACUCGAUACAAAUAUCCGCACAAAAUAUAUUACCCACCCCUCUGAACAUCAUCUAAUUAUUCCUGAAACAAAUAUUAUACAAGCAGCUGGACAAACGUUCAUGUAUUUGUAUAUAUAUAGUAGUGAUAGAAAGAAUCCCACCGCAGUGGCCAACAAAUUAUUUUUAUUAUUUUUUAUAUGAAAGAUGGAGAAGGCGAAGGCGCAGCUGCAUCCUUCUUGCUGACGAACCCACCACCGGAAACUGGUCCAGGCGCCGGGCCUUCGCCCUUCUUGCUGACGAACCCACCCCCAGAAACUGGUCCAGGCGCCGCACCCGAACUCAAGAGCUCCGCCAUCGCGCGGCGAGGGUUCGAGCGUUGAGUCUCGCACAGAUCAGGUAGGAACACACCUGUUAACACCAAUUGUAUCAGCCUUCACUUUCUUUUUCCGGACGUAUAUAGUAAAUACUGUGAGCAGUGAGCUAACACUGAAUUGGACGGUGAAUUUUAAAAGGCAAUCUAAUGAAGGAGAACCAGAUGCUCCUUGUUAAAGUUUUGCCAGUAAAAUAAGCCCCACACGUACCUAUGGUGUAUACACACAUAUGGUGACUUUCUUGUUGGACUUCAUCUAGGGCCCAACAUUUCCAAAGCCCAGAUAAUGAACAUCACGUAGUCCAUCUUUUUUUUUUUUUUUUUAAAUAUGAUUUUUUCUUUUAAUUUUUCCGUGAGACAUUCCUAUCGUCUUUACUAGGUCCUUUUCUCUCUGUUUUAUGCUUCAAUCCCACUUUGGGUAUCUCCGCGUGAUCGUUACGUACGACCAUAGGAAGUUAACUGCACCUGUUGUGUGCUUCACUAUUAUUUGUCUUAUUUAAUUAAUCUUAAAUUAUAAAAUAAAUACUUCGCAAAAGAGGUAGAUUAAUGAAUUAAAAAAAAUAAAAAAUAAAAAAAAAGUUAACGUGACCUUCUCCGGCGGCGAGGUUGAAGUAGAGGUCGACGAUGUUGGGGCAGUUGUGGUAGCAGGAGGGGGAGCAGAGGUUGGAGGUGAAGCGCGGGUCGAGGAGGGAGUCGGAGGAGAUGCCGACGGUGCUGCGGUCGACGCCGCACGCCCGCACGCACUCGUCCGUCUCGAUCCAGUCCGACAUCCGCCCCACCGUCACCUCCGACGUCCGGCACUGAUACUCCGUCCCCGCACCCCCGCUCCUCGGCGCGCUCUCCAGCAGGCACCGCUUCGACUCCCACGAUAUCGAGAACGCGCACAGGUCCUGCGGCAGCUCCUCACACACCACUCCCGCCCCUUCAAAUUCAAAUUCAAAAAUUCAAAUUCAAAUUCAAAGUUUAAAUUUAAAAAACAUGCAUGCAUGGAUGCAUGUCAGCUCUAUAAAUGCGUAAUAUUAGCAGUAAAGCCAGAAUCAAAUUCAAAUCAUCUGAUGUCCUACAGCCAGAAAUCAAAACAAAUAAAACAUAAAAAUGCGUACGGAGCACGCACGCGCACGAAAGACAAAUGCAAUGGUUAUUUGUAGGUGCACAUAUAUAUAUAAUUAAAUGUGGAUAUACGUACCAAGAGCCGAUGGAAGGACGAGGGAGAGGGAGAAUAGAAGGGCCAAGCCCAUGUUAGCAAGAGAAGAGGACGCCAUUAUCAAUGGUGGUGGUGGUGGUGGUGGUGGUGGUGAGAGAGGGAGACGGAGGGGUGAUGAAUGAGAGCUUUGUUUAGGUUGGAGCUUAAUUGGUGGCAAUGGAGAGCGAGAGAAGGGGACGAGUUUCGGGGGUUUAUAUAAUAAAAGGCUAAUAAAGAACGGGAAGUGUUUCGGGUACGAAUCCAACAAUUUCGGUCUCUAUUUGUGGCUUUAACCUUCAACUGCGCAUCCCCUUUUAUAUAUAUUUUUUUCAAUUUAUUUUUUUCCACUCCUUUUCUUUAUUUAUUUAUUUAUUUAUUUAUUUAUUGCAUAAUUUCCAACCAUCACGCGGUGUUGGGCUUUGAAACAUCCGUGACGGCGAAUUAUCAUAACUCAUAAUUAAGCACCAAAUGCCAAUAAAAAGCUACCGCGUAUGGCACCAAGCAACGUACCGAUAUUUUGCACCUAUCACGUUCGAGCUUGAGAAUAGAUACGUAACGUCGGUGGCACGCGAACUUUUGCAUUUACUUUUCUUUUAAAAAAAAAAAAAUUUGACGGUUCGUAUGUAAGUUUGUAAUUAACGAGUCUGUUCUUACUAAUAAUAUCAAUUAUAAUUAUUAUUGUUAUUAUUAUUGUUAUCAUCGCGUCGAGUCAAACUCAAAGACUCGUGCGCACGUUGUCCGUUGACGACGACGAGACGUGAUGGAAGGUAAGAAAGCAUUGGCAUCUGAGGUGGGGUUUGAUCUUUGAACUUUGAACGAUUCAAAUGUGGCGAGAGAAGCUUCGUUCCCACUUCAAUACAAGUUCGCAAUCACCCUCGUUUCGUUCCGUUGCGUUUGGGCCCAUCGAUCCCAAUUAAUUAAAUUAAUUUGGUCCAUGUGGCGGAAUUUGUGGGUGCCAUUUUGAUGGGCAACAACGAUCCAUGUGGACAUAGAAAAAUGGUGGUUAACAACUGGGACAUGGGAGAGAUCGAAAUCGGAAGUCGUCGCCGCGUCGUUUUCUUUUCUCAGUGCAUUAUUAUUCCCUAAGCAAAGUCUCGUGGGUUCUAGAAAAGCUCGCAAAUCAUGUGCAUUUUUUAGGCUUGUUUUGCACCUAGCUAAAAUUAUUUUUCUUGGAAUAAUCGGCUCACACAACACGUAAUUAAAUGGAUUUGCAUAAAAAUUGCAAAAAUUAUUCAAAACUACUGCAAUUAAAAAUUCUCAAAUUUUUGUUGUAAUGAAUUCUUUUGGUUGAUCGAACAUGUACUCCACAAUCUCGGUGUUGACGCGAGAAGUCGUUGCCUACACAGCUGUUUGGAUCCCGAAGUAUUGUAAAUUGCGUUUGUAAAAUUAAAUAUCACAAUUAACGCUCGACCUUGGAAUGCAGAAUUGUAAGUCAUAGAGUAUUGGUAACGGUUCGCGGCCAUUUUUAUGACAUUCAUUGGAAUCCACAUGUGGAAACUGCACAUGCUGACCAGCAAAGCAAAGUAUAAUUUUGUUUUCCUCUUAGAAUUAGCUAAUUCAUCUCAAUUUCUAACUUGGUGCCUUGUCUUUUAAUGGGACUAAAUCCUCCUAUCACUUACGGUUCAAACCCACUAUUGCACCGAGAAUAUUGGUUCAACAGUGAUUAGACGUAAGAAUUAAUUGUGCUCUGUGUGUAUUGUGCAAGAGUUUUUUUUAUCUAUGAUCAGUUUUAGUUUAAUGUUGCGUUUUCGAUAGAUUAUACAUCUUUUUCAGCUCAGAGUUUAGGAACUCCACAUAUUAUUAGUGCAGAGAUUGCAAGUUCAGGGCCUCACAAAAGCUUUCCACAUCCUCAAAUCUCUCCAGUAAUACUAUUGCGCGAGCAGGAUAGAGCUGAGAGAUCGAGCAUAUCUGAGUGUACAGUAAAAUGAUGCCUUUCUUAAGCGUCUACGAUGUAGAAUAAAGAACGCAAAACUUUCUCUUUUGUAGCCUUACAGGCCAUGUGAGAUCUAUAAAGGCAUCGGCUGCAUCAGAUUCAGCAUGGUUUACUUUAGGGCAAGUGUGGAGAGAGGUUCGUGGCAUCCAUUUUUGUCAAGCUCGAAACUGACGGUGCCGGGACCGGCCAACCGGAGGAGUAAAGAGCCCGAAAAAUGGCCUAGCCCGAUACGACACGACACAACACGAUCUGCAUGAAAGACACAUUUAGUCUAUUUGUCAACAAAAAUAGGCGCAUAUAAAUUUAACCUACAAAAGACACAAUAUGCAUACUAGUUAACUGUCUGAAAUUUUAAAUUUGAAGUCUAAUUAUUUUAUAUUUUUUAAAUAUUUUUUUAAAAAACUUAACAUAACGAACAAUAUACUAUCUUUCUCUCCUGAAAAAGUAAAAAAAAUAGAGUCAGGGAAAAUAUAUGGGAAACCAUUAAAUGGGGCCCACCGAGGCAUCCACGAUGCAGCUUCACCUCAAACAAAUAGAAAACUUUCUAUUUCUUAGAUUGAAGGAAAAGUGUAAUGGAGCCCAGAGAUAGAAUAGUCAAUACGAAGGCUGGGCCGUGUCGAAGCGUCUUAAAUUAAACCGGGCCUUUCAAACAAUGGGGCCGAUGUGGGCCCAAAUACGCACGGGGCCGCCACGGCUUAACAGGCCUAAGAAAUGAUCCAAAAUGAGCCUAGGCCUGGCUUUUGAUAAGUCUAUUUAUGGUAUGCCACGGGUUUUUACCUAAAAUGGAAAGUUUUCCGUUUCGAGGGUAGGAUAACUGAGAGUACGGAAUAUUUGUUAGUUCAAUCGGGUUUUGUUAGAUUUAAUUAUUUUAAGUAUCUUUUAUAAAAAUUAAACUGCAAAAAUUAACAAAAUGAUGGCUCCCAGACUUACCUAAUUUAUGGGUCUUAAUUCAUUCCUAUUUGUAUUCUAAUAAUAUUUUUGUAGUAAAAUAAUUGACCAAUCUAUAGUAGGUAAUAAUUUCCUGUGAUGUUUGAGAUUUAAAAGUGUAGAGUAUAUUUUAAAUACAAAAUAAAAAAAAAGACGAGCCCAUCACUUGUCCUGUGGCCCAAUUAUGUACGAGUCCAAAGGGCCCAUUUAAUUUGGGCCCAUAUGGCGGCCCAGGCCUGCAUUUUUCAAGACUAUUUUUGGUUAGUUUCGGGACCUACUUAAAAAGGACACUUUUCAGUUUUGACGUGACAAUACAGUAAUGGAGCAUCCACUGGGGCGAUACGCUCACCACCACGUUCGAAUAACCCGACGUUUUUUUAAGCAACAGUCCACGAAAAAAAUUAUUUUGAAGGAAACGAGGCGAUUGAUGCGGGAGGGUGAGCGCACUGGCGGUGACCGGACUCGAAAAGCCCAGCCCAUAUGUCAAUUGACUAGCGAAUCAAUAGCGAUCCAAUAUCCCCGCGAUACGCUCACCGCCACCUAGCAUAACCGCAGCGUUUUGUGCGCAGCAAUCCACCAAAAAAAUUAUUUUGAAGCAAACGCGACGGUUUGUGCGGAAGGGUGAUCUCACUGGAGGUGACCGGACUCAGAAAGUGGUGUGAAAAUAUAGGCCGGCCCAAUAAGUCAAUUGCCCGGUGAAUUAAUGCGGCCCAGCCCAACAUCGACCAACUAUUGAUGCCAUAUAGGCCGAAUUAAUUGACGGGGCGAACUAAUCGAAUGGGCCUUAUUGCGAAACCACAGCCUAAAGAGUUGAGGUGCAAUUAGAUGGGCCUUCUUAAGACCCCAAGCUAGCUCAUUUUGAUAACACGUUUGAACUUAACUAAUACAUAGUCAUUGAGGCCCUAAACAUAUUUUUGUAUUAUUGUUAUUUUUUAAUUGGAGUUGCAUACGAAGAUAACCUGUUCUAAGUGCUAAAAUUCAAUGGCCCUUCUCUCUCAAUCUCUCUGCUCUGCUCUGCUCUGCUCUGCAAAUAAGUAGACAUGGGUUUUUCUCACAGGGAUCCGCUGCUCACCAGCAAGCUUAGCAAGAACAGAUAAACAGUUUGAUUCAUACACAGUAAAUAUUCAAUGGCGUAUUGAAUAUUUACGCCAGUGAAUAUUCACAGAGCAAAAAUAACCAAAAGAAAAAAAGAAGCAAUGUCUUUUGUUGUAUUAAUUGGUAUUGUGGUAACUUAUGGUUAGUCAUAAUUCAGCUGAUCUGUUUUCCAAUUAUUUGAGGUUUAUUUCAACUAUCAUUCCUCCCCCAUUCUUUUCAUCAGGUCGUUGGUUAACCUCUAUGCUGCUGGAGAAUAAAGCAAGCGAAUUGAUGGUCCGGAGAGCUUGCUUUCCCGCUUCAGUAUUAAACAUGCCCUGGUCGCUGGUCGAAGCGGCACGCUAACAGCAACGUGCCAUUAUAUCGCCUUUGGGUCCCAGCGAUACGCUCACCGCCGCACACGAAUAACCCCGACGUGUAGUAAGCAACAACCCACGGAAAUUUUUUUUUUGUAGGAAACGAGACGAUUACUGCAGGAGGGUGAGCACACGGACGGUAACCGGACUCAGAUAGCCCGGCCCAAUAAGUCACUAGCGAAUCAAUAACCGGAGCAAAUGGAGGCCCAACAUCCCAGCGAUUCGCUCAUCGGGCUUGGAUAGCCUGGCCCAAUACGUCAAUUGGCUGGUGAAUUAAUGCGGCCCAAAAUUGGAUCAACUUUCCAUGAUUCAUGGGCUGACUUAAUCGAAUGGGCUCAUCGCUAAAGCACAGCUUAAAUAGGUGAGGUGCAACGACAUGGCCAUCCUUAAGAGCCCAAACUUUGUACACUGAACCACGCACCUAAUGGUUUUUGUUUUUUUUGCGUCCAGUGCGAUAAAAUUUGUCCAGAAAAUAGAAAACCACUAGUAGCUCUCGAGUUAUAACUUUAGCAAAGCACUCAACGCACCCAGAAAAGUAAAAUGGAAUAAGGUGUGGCUUGAUAAAUAUGAAGAGGCCUGCUUUAAAAAUGAAUACAUUUUCAACUUUCUCAUGAUAAAUAUGAAGAGGAGAAAAGUAGAAUAUCUUUCGUUUUUUACCUCUUAUUAUUUUGGCACAUAUCUUUUUUACCUCUUCUUAUUUUGGAACAUAUCUCCUGGACAAAAAUCAUCAACAAACUAGUGUGUGUAUGGCAUGAAGGUUAAGCGGUCCCACGAGGAGUAGAAACAAUACUAUCCUCACAUUCCCCACCCGCUGAGACACCCAAUCCAAACUUCCAAACUACAAUAUCCUCACAUUCCCCACCCGCUGAGGCACCCAAUCCAAACUUCAAACUACAACCCCCCAAGAAGAACACAUGGAUCAGAAACGCGGGAAACUAAAGCAACAAUGGCUGCCUCAGCUGCGAUCUCUGCUCCCUCUCAGCUCCUCUGCAGCAGAGCUUCGACCCGUAUCUCACCCUUUCCGCAUUUGGUCCUCUCGCUUUUGCCCGGGAGGGCCUGCUCACACCAUGUGCGCUCUUCUCCAGCUUCAAAUAUACGAUGCGCUGCAGUGGACGCCACAGCGUCGCAAGUGGAGACGGUGGCAACCAAGAAGAAGAGCAGCUUUGCAGUGCAGACGCUGACAACAUGGCUGCUGAAGCAGGAACAAGCAGGCAACAUCGACACAGAGCUGACCAUCGUCCUUUCGAGCAUCUCCGUGGCGUGCAAGCAGAUUGCCUCCCUAGUCCAACGGGCCAGCAUCGCCAAUCUCACAGGCGUCCAGGGCGCCGUCAACGUCCAAGGCGAAGACCAGAAGAAACUUGAUGUCAUCUCUAACGAAGUAAUCGAUUAAUCAACACUCAAUCUGCCCUUUCUGUUCUGCAAGUAACUACAAAGUUUGGCAAUUCUCGUAAACUACAGGUGUUCUCAAAUUGUCUGACAUCAAGCGGGCGUACAGGAAUCAUAGCCUCAGAAGAGGAGGACGUGCCGGUGGCCGUAGAAGAGAGCUACUCCGGCAAUUACAUCGUGGUGUUCGACCCCCUCGACGGCUCCUCCAACAUCGACGCGGCCGUCUCCACUGGCUCCAUCUUUGGCAUCUACAGUCCCAAUGAUGAGUGCCUUGCUGACACCGGUGACGAUGCCACAGUAUACAUGCUCCCUUUCCUAAUCUUUUUCCCCCGGUCCGAACACACGUAGUAGAUUGAAUCUUAUGGUUCUGACCUUUGUAAUAUGGCAAUGACAGCUCGAUCAGACGGAGCAGAGGUGCGUGGUCACCGUGUGCCAGCCUGGAAGCAACCUACUUGCCGCAGGAUACUGCAUGUACUCCAGCUCAGUGAUCUUCGUGCUUACAGUGGGGGAGGGCGUGUUCGUGUUCACGCUGGACCCCAUGUAUGGCGAGUUUGUGCUGACCCAGGAAGAGGUGAAGAUACCGCGAGCAGGCAAGAUAUACGCGUUCAACGAAGGAAACUACCAGCUGUGGGAAGACAAGUUGAAGCAGUACAUGGACAUCCUCAAGGACCCUGGGCCAUCAGGGAAGCCCUACUCGGCCCGGUACAUCGGCAGCCUCGUCGGGGACUUCCACCGGACUUUGCUGUACGGUGGCAUAUAUGGAUAUCCCCGCGAUAAGAAGAACAAGAAUGGGAAGCUCAGGCUGCUUUACGAGUGCGCUCCGAUGAGUUUCAUUGUGGAGCAGGCUGGCGGGAAGGGAUCGGACGGCCACCAAAGGAUUCUCGACAUCAAGCCUGAAGAGGUAAGCUACCGUUACUUUUGUUGUAGUUCAUCUCGUUCUGUCUGAAACCAGAGAAUAAAUAUAGCUUAGAACAGUUAGUAUGCACACCGGGCUAAUACGGCGAAAUACAAAUCUUUGAUUUUACUAGAUCCAUCAAAGAGUUCCACUAUUCAUCGGAAGCGUUGAAGAAGUCGAGAAGUUGGAGAAGUUCUUGGCAUGAUCCUUUUGUACGGAAGGCCGGUUAGCCUCACAUAGGACUAUAUUUUGGAAGCCUUCCGCACACUCCAAAAUUUUAAGAAACUCCUAUGCCCAUCUUUAUUUAUUGUUUCACAUGCAGCAGAUGUAUUUUUUAUACGUAGUUUCCAUCGUAUCUAUUGUUACAGAUAGAAUUUGAUGAGGAUACCACUGCCAGUAUUCUGGGCAUUCAUUCAUCUGGCAUCAAAUUUUAAACCUAUGAAAAUGAAUGGAAAAAUAAAAUGCUUCAUGAUUGGCCCUAUUAACAACUUUUAGCAACAUUAAAUUUCAGCAAAUUUUUGCGGUACUUAGAGCGUAGUACAUACCAAAUAAACCUUACGCUGCAGGCAAAUUAAUCUAUCAAUCAUGCUCAAAGAAUCAAGCGGAAAGACAAAAAAAAAAAAAAAAAUCACAAAUUCGAAGAAGUAGAAGGAAUAGUCACACAUCAUAGGAUAAGAUUCACACGAUUUAUUUACACGCAAAGUGGCCCGGCAUACAGCACGACCAAGACACGCAUCAGUAAUUCACCAGCAAUUCAAAAUACAAAAAUGCACGAGAAUCGCUCGACGAAAUGCGAUGGACAGAGAAAGAAGGCACCGAACCGACCCUAACGAGUAAGUAGCAGCACACUACACAUUACACUACGAUUAAAGAGAGACUCAGAUCAGACGCACAGAGAGAGAGACGAUGACGAAGUAGAUGAGACCUAGAAGAUUUAUUCGUUCUGGGAAGGAAGGAAGGAAGGAAGGAAGGAAGGAAGCAAAGCUGCUGCUGGUGCUGUGCUGAUCAGCAUCAUCGUGAUCAGCCGGAGAUCUGGACGGACUUGACCUGGGGCUUCUUGACGUCCUCCUUGGGGACGGUGACGGUGAGCACGCCGUUCUCCAUGGCGGCCUUGACCUGAUCGACCUUGGCGUUGUCGGGGAGGCGGAACCUGCGUAGGAACUUGCCGCUGCUGCGCUCCACGCGGUGCCAGGUGUCGUUCUUCUCCUCCUUCUCCCUGGUGCGCUCGCCGCUGAUCUGCAGGACGUUGCCCUCCUCCACCUCCACCUUCACCUCCUCCUUCUUCACCCCCGGCAGAUCCGCCUUGAACACGUGCGCCUCCGGCGUCUCCUUCCAAUCUAUGCGGGCGCCCGCGAACGACGCUGUCUCCGCGGGGAAGGACGCCGAGGGGCGCGGGAACGAGAGGGCGCCGCCGAAGGGGAAGCCCUCGAAGGGCUCCCACAGGUCGAGGGAGAAGGGAUCGAAGAUGUUGCUUCGCCGAACCAGAGACAUGAUGAUCGCUUCCGAAGACGACGCUUCUUCAGAGGGUUUAGGAUGGAUGGAUUGUUCCGAUGAGACUGCCUGCUUGCUUGCACUUGAUGGAUGAUGAUGGGUCGAUGAGGCUAGAGCGGAGUGGGGAGACCUAUAUAUAGAUAGAGAGAGAGAGAGUUUCUCGAACGUUCCCCAGGCUUCUUCCGAUUACUCUCGACGGUUCCGGAACCGCCAGCCGAUCAGACAAACCGGUUCAAGCGAACCGCGAGAACCAUCGCGUCCGUUCUAGCACUUUCUCGACAAAGGCGUGCGUUACCGUACUUACGGCGCUAUGAGAUGCUUCGCCACCGACUUCACCUUUCGCGCAAGGUUAUAUUGAAUACUGCAAAUCGAUAUGUCUCGUCGCCGACUUUGUUGUUUAUGUUUCGCUGCAGAGUAUGCUUAUAAUUUAUACCCCACUAGCUCCAUGAUUCCAAAUCCUCUAAGUCCAAGACAAAGACAGAAACUUGUGGGUCGUUUUAGCGCGAGCAUUACAGCAGUUGAUUAACUGAAUACAUACACCACGGUCCCACCCAACAACGAACACACAUACACACACACAUACACAAAAAAAGGAAGAGUAUAGACAUGUUAGUUUGCAAACUAAUAUCACAAACAAAGGCAACAAGAAAACCAAAUGACCUCUUAAUGACAUUAGCUCUGAUGCCUACACUUUCGCUUUGAGAGAGAGAGAGAGAGAGAGAAAAGCAAAAAGGACUGUUGUAUCUGAUUUCAAAAUGAAUAACACACAAAUAUAUAUACUCUAAAAUUAUUGCAUAUUACAAACCGCCUCGCAAAUAUUUUUUUUGAGAGAUAGGUAGCCAAAUAUUUUUUUUGAGAGAUAGGUAGUACGCUAUCCGUUUCGUUUAUUUCAUUUAGAAAUAAACUUAGCUAGAAAUGUGAAUCAACUAGGAUUCGAACUUGGGUCUCGGAUACCAACCACCAAGCCCUUUGCCACUUGCUCUAGGGACGGUCGGUCACCUCGCAAAUAUUUAAGAAUGGUUACCCAUCAACUUUGUCAAAA